UUACCAAUUCCUUGAUAACCGC
rnacentral:siRNA from 1 species